GCCGGGCGUGGUGGCACACACCUGUAAUCCCAGCUACUCAGGAGGCUGAGGCAGGAGAAUUGCUUGAACCCAGGAGGCAGAGGUUGCAGUGAGCCAAGGUUGGCCGCUGCACUCCAGCCUGGGCAAGAGAGCAAGAUUUUGUCUCAA
ensembl:misc_RNA Metazoa_SRP Metazoan signal recognition particle RNA